UCAAGAAUAAGAUCUUUAUAUAGUGUUACAAUUAGGGUAAACCCUAAUUGUCAUGACUUUCCAUUUCCUUGGAUCCAUGGGUUCAAAUACACCAUGGAGCAUCCAUGGACCAUCCUAUGGGUUUUAGCCCAACUUGAUUAUCCAUGGAGCAUUAGCCCACUAUACAAGUAUGGAUGAUUUACACAAUCAACCCAUAUAUUUAAUUAGUCUUCUUUUGAUCACUUAAUUAAUCCUAGAUUAAUUCUUGAUCAAUACUAAUUAAAUAAUCUUAUUAUUCUUAUUAUUAAUAUACUAGAACUUAUAAUAUAUUAAUAACCAUAAGUGUCUUAUUUCUCUCAUUAUAGUCUAUCCAAGUGCAUGAUGCCAUGCAACCCAAAUGGACCAUGCCGGGUCGGGUCAAGUCUUACCAAUUAUAGUUAUGGACUUAGACAUUAAUCCAACAGUCUCCCACUUGGAUAAGUCUAAAACUAUUAUUGCGUAUGACUUCAGGAACCAACUGGCAAUCGUAGCUCUCAAAAGCUUCUGUCGAACUCUGACCUUGUAGAUGAACUCUGACCUUUGUCAAUGACUUGUCCAUUAGAUAAGGGAUCAUAUAUUCCUCCAUUCUAGAUAUCAUAUGGACUGAGACAUGGAUUAUAAUCAUUCUCUCUGUCCAUUUGUUGUUUCCCGAUUUCCGAUUUAUGACGACUGACUAAUUGAACAAAUCAAAUCAGUCCUGGCCCGGCCGAGCACUUCCAUUUGUCAUCAUCAAAUCAUCGAGGGGCCCACAGAUAUCGCUUUUAUCCCGAAGGUAAAAGGAACGGAUAAACUUCGACUCAUAUGGCUUGUUCUACUACUUGUUGAAUCAUACACAAAGGCACGUUUUAUAGCACCGAGUUACCAAAUGCGUUUUCGUGCAAUCAAUGUACUAUCAACUCAUAGUAACAACUCAUAUCUCUAGGUUUGAAGAAUAUAAGAUAUUAUCGUCUCAUGAUCACUCGUGAUAAAAUCCAUGAAGUGAUUCCAAUGAGCGCGGGUUGAAUCCAAUACUCAGAACUUAUGAGCACUCAUGAGUGUUGUAGCCCUUUGUCCAACACCUUAGACCUCUACAAGCCAACCCAUGACAGUCUUAAUUCAUAUCUACUUCCAACAUAUGACCGACUGUGGAUGGUUUGAAUAACUUAGUCAUUCCGGAAGAAUAACCUAGUUUAUUCGGGAAGUCAAAACAUGCAAAGUGAAACACAAUAAUAAUUGAAUCCAAUAUGGUAUCAACCCUUUGAACAUAAAUAAAACACCUUUUAUUUAUCACCAUAUGAUUACACAUUAUUCAUUGUAUACUGUUUCAGCUAUCAACUUUAUUCUUGAAUUUAAAACAAUAGUUGUCCCAUGCUCCAAGCAUGUACACUAUGUUUUCUUAAACACUAGUCAUGCCACACACCAAGUAUGCAUACUAUGUUUGUCUAUGAUCUUUACUUUGUGAACUAGAUCAAUUGAACAUAACUUCAAUGAUUCUCUUUUCACACUCCCAAAUCCUUACUGCAAAUGCAAGAAUUCCAAAUUCAUGCCAUUUACUGAAAUCUGUUAGAUUCUAAACUUAUAUGCAUUGAUCCUCUUGUAAUGAUUAUGCACAAAGUCAGAAAGACUUGACAACAAUCAUUACAGAGUAUUCCAAAGGAGAUCAGCUCCUUGGAAACAUCCUUCUUGCAUUAAGUUUCCUAAUCUUAAACAGAUUGAAAAUUCUAACUUUGAAACAUUUCCAGAUUCCAUUUUGACUAUCACUUCUGAACAAGAGUUGCCUCCUUACAGAUUAUGUCAAUAUGGUCCUUCCAGAAUUAUCACUAUACUUCCAACUGUCCUUGAGCAACCAAUCUUUGGUAAACCUUAGAUUGUCCUCGACAAUUGUUUAAUCCUUUUAGUCAUAUCCAGUUCUAAACCUUUUCCCUUCUUAAUGCCCCAGGCAUUUGGAAAAUUUUAGAACGGAUGAAUAUAGCACAUGUAAUCGAUCCUAUAUCCGAAGCAUAUGGGACACGAUUCAUGAUGUCUCACAUAAAGACUAAACCAGUCUUUUGCUAUAACAUUUCCAUUUCAAUUUGCCAAGUUCUCAUAAUUCAGAUUAUGAAAAGGGAUGCCGUAAUCAUAAUCGAAUUUUAGAACGCAAAUAAUGGACCCAUAUACAGAAUUUCCUUAUGUUGAGCCAUUCCAACAUGAAAUUCAUAUAUAUCCUUGACUAAAUGAUUAAAACCUCACGAUCUAAGCUUAUAGAUUUGAGAUGAAGCAUAAUUUCCUCUCCCUUAAUUAUAGCAAAACAACUUUUUCCCAAUUGAAACUUUUGUUUUCUAUAAUUAACAUUGCUAACUUGCAAUACUUAUCAUAAUUAUCAUGCUCCCACUAACAUGAUGAUUAUUAGCAUAACACUUAUGCUCCCACUAGCUUUGACAUGUACUCAGAAAUCAGCUGGACUUCUAGAAAUCAAUACUUCAUUGACUUUCUUACCAAAGUUCAGAUUUCUGAUGCUAGAUUGUUUUGAUAAAACUUUAUCAAAAUCAUACACCUUCCCUUAGAUAGCACACUUGUGUGUCUAAACAAUUAUGAAGAGGUAUGCCGUAAUCAUAAUGGUUAGACCUUUUUGCCACUUCUCACAAGUCCAGGUUAGUGUGCCGGUUAACCACACGCGCUCCACUAACGACUUUGAGAAUGCAAAUAUCACAAUUGCUAUCUAGAUAAAAUCUACUUAGUGAAAGUGUUUCCUCACCAUCAUUUUCAUGAAUCGGAGAGAAACCUUAUGACACUUAGAUUUAUAUGGUGUAUGAGUUCCUACCCAUAUGAAUUUGUCAAACCAUAAUCACAAGACAAAGAUAAUGACAAAUCCAAAACCAUAUGGAUUGAACUCAAUCUUAACUUCUUGCCACCUGGCAGCUCAAGGGCCUGCCAUUGCUUCCAAGUUGUUAUGCAACAAACUGAGAACUCUAAGAACUCAUAUGCAAAGCCAACUUUAACUGGAAUGGGCACAGAUAUGUCAACACGAUAGGUUAUAAACCUCAAGUCGUGUGCUAGUGAAGAACUUCAGGUUUUAUUCUUGAUUAGUUCUUGAGACUUUCAAGACCUUUAAGACUCCCACUGUCCUCUUGACAUAUAAGACUCCCUUGUCAAACAUCCAAGAGAUAGUGCGGAUUCUAAUCAAGAAAAACACUUUACCCAAUUGGCCUAAGUUGGUCUUUGUUUUAUCCAAAACAUCACAACUUACCAAUUUCAAAUGUACAAGAGUAGAAAACUUUUACUCUUACAUUUGACAAGUGUUUUAAACCUUCUUUAAGACAUGUCACUCAAAUGACAAUCUUGGAGUAUGACUCUAAGACUUGUAUUGGAACGAAGUAUGACUCAUCUUCUUGAUUUAACCAUUUCAACAAUUCAAGUUCCUCUUCUUAGUCAUAAGAAUGCACUAAGAUUUCCUUAGAGAACUAAUUUUGAUAUGGUUUCUUAAUCAUUAAGAUGAUCACAAAACUGAUACUAAAGUACUCUCCCAUCUUUUCAGAUUUGAGAAACUUUUAUCCUUCUGCCUUAUUUGAUUCUUCUUAUCGAUCUUUAGUGGUGGACUUAAUCAGUGCACAAGAAUGUGUACUCGAUCCCUAAGUCCUUUACUUGACUCACACAUCCAUGUGAACAAGUAAUUAGUCUUAAUUUUCCAAAACUUGAAAGUUCUCAUUCAUCAUGCUAUACAACUUGCAUGAUUCCAAGUUCCGGUCCAAUUGAAACUUGGGUGAUGAGAAUCUUUCCUUAUUUGGUAAAUUUAGACAUUACCACAAAUGAAAGAAUCAAUUUCAUACUUCCACUCUUGCUACUAAUGGAAUCUUAUAAGCAACAAAAAUUUCCACAGAUGCCAUUGUAAGGAUAUUUUAAAAUAAAUAAAAUCAAAAAUUUCCUUUUAUUUUAAAACUUUGCGGAAAAACUAUCCUUACAAUCCAUAUGAAAACUUGUUGUUAUCUAUUCCUAAGCAAUAUCUCAUAACUCCUAAGAAGUAGCUCAAGAAUCCGAUUUUUCAAACUAUGCGAUAGAAAUCCAUCUAUGCGAUCAGAUUCAGCAUAUUCUUCCUUUAAGUUUCUUCACUUUCCUUUGAUUCUUAAACCAUCACCAUGCGACCCGGUCACAUCAUGUAUCAAGAAUCUCAGAAUAGAAACUUAACAGAGUUAGAUAGUGGAUUUUACCUGAAGUAGAGUCAAACUUAUUGACUUUAACAUCCUUAGGUAAAUUUGGCAGCUUCGCAACCAAUGCCCUUUCUUUGGCAAUACAAACAUAUGGACCCUUUGAUAAUGGUACACAGGACUAUCACAGACUUAGCUUUUCUCUUUACCAUUUGGUCAACCGAGUUGACUAUAGCCGAUCCCUUUCCAUUGGGAAGAGAAUGCUUUACUGGAUAUCCAAUGUCAUCAUUGUCAAUGUCCAUAAAGUUUUAGGAAGUUGAUCUUAACAAAUAGAUAAGAUCAUUAAGGGUCUUGUCAUAGUCUUUUUCAUAGGUGUUCCAAAAGAACUCACUAUGUGACUUAGAAAGUAGUUGAACCACCAACUUUCUCAAGACUUUGACACCCAACUCUCCCGGCUUGUCAAUAUGUGACUACAUCUCCAAGAUGUGACCACACCUAGACCUUGCCUUGCCAAAAGGGCCUGAGUGACCUUAAACUUUUCAAGAACUUGUGGGUUAGGGAGAAUAAUUUGAAGAGGUGAAGAAGUAUGAUAUCCAUGGGACAUCAUCUUCAUUAGGAAACCUUGUUUCAAGAGAUUUGGGAAGAUCAUAGGUGUCUAAACCAGACAUCUUUUGGGAGAUAUUCAAGAUAGUUGAUUUAAAGUCCUUAAUAUGACACCCAAUAUGAAAUAUUAAGGCUAGGACCCAACAAACUAUUUUAUAACUUAGAAGAGGUAUGCCGUAAUCCAAGCUAUAAAAUAUUUGAAGGUAGGUGAAUGACGAUUCACCAAUUUCCACCAAGAUAAACGAAAUGUAUUAUUAGGUUUUAAUUGGUUUUGAAACUCCUAGAUCUUUGAGAUUCAUUGAACUUUUCAAAGGCAUGUUUCAAUCUCGAGUGUGCCCUUCAGGUUUUGUGACUGGGAUGCCGAGGAUCACAAAACAAGGUGUGAAGUAACCAUGCAAAUCACUUGGUACCCUUAAUAAAUUACCCCUCAAUCGAUGUGCCGGUUAACCACACACGCUCCAUCGAUACUAUGAUAAAUAUUAAGUCACCCUUUACCUACCUUGUUAAGUCCAAGUUAGUGUGCCGGUUAACCACACACGCUCCACUAACGACUUAGACAAAGUGUAAAGUGUAAUUUCAUGGAUUAGCACCUUAUUCACAUUUUUCCUAAGUAACUAAGAUUGGGUAUUAUUAAGAGUUUAGUUACUUAGUAUUAUCAUUAAUACUUUUAAUGAAGGGAGAAUUCUAGUCCUGUCAAACCCGUUCGGCUAACGACCCUCCACCAGUCAAGCAAGCGGUGGGUGAGAGUGGACACCCAUUAAGUUGCCAUUUUAUAGGCAACAACCUUAUACCCACCUUAUAGACCGGCUUCGUGAAUGAGGCGUACUAGCGGUAAGACUGACUUUACUCUUAUACAUAUAUAUAUUAUUAACUUAUAAUAUUAUAAAGUAUAAGGGUUGAAUUUUAACUUUUAAAAUUCUAAGGGCUAACUUGGAAUUAAAGUAUUCAUAAGUGAAAACUUUACAAAUUCCAAAACUUGAGGGCAAGUUUUGAAACUAUUCAAAACUAAUUAAUUCCAUAACUUAUGUGUUUAAAGUAGUUUUAAUCCAAAAACUCUUCAAGUUCCAUAACUUGAGGACAAGUUAUGGAAGACUUUAAACUAAUAAAAGAAUUAACUUUUCUUUAUUUUAUAACUUAUGGAAUUAAUUAAGGUUACACUUUUUUUUUUUUUAUUUUAUUUUAUUAAAUGAAGAGACUCUUGGUCCUCCAUAACUUGAGGACAAGUUAUGGAGUCAUAAAACCAUUUAAUUAGAACUAGACUCUUCAUUUUUGUAACCUUUGCCAAUUUUUAUGAGUUUUAUGAUUCUUAAAUGUGACUUUUCAUAUAACUUGAGGACAAGUUACAAAAACACAUUUUAGAAUCAAUUCUUAGAUUAAUUUGGAUUAAAACCAACUAUCACAUAAUUUUAUUCAUUAAUCUAAAUUCACUCAUAAAACAAGGUAACACAAAAAACUUUUGGUGAUCCAUAACUUAUUCUUAAGUUAUGGAAUCCUUUAAAACAUUAACACCAAAUUUUGUAACUCCAAAAAAACUUUGAAUCAAUUUUUUUUUUAAAACCUUUUCAUAUCCAUAACUUAUGGAGGUUUCAAAAAAUAAAACUCUUUAGAUCAAACUUUUAAAACUAAUAAAAUAAUCAUAUUAUUUUAUCUUUUAUUAAAUUUGACCUAAUUCAACUCAUAAAGCAAAUUAUUCAAAUUUUACAAAUAAUUAGUUUUUCACAAGAACAAGUAAUUAUCUUAAAAUUUGACAAACUUCAUGUUUUUUUUUUUUUUUUUUUUCAACUUUGAAAAUAAAAUAUUUGCAUCAAUAUAACAGAAAACAACCCGUGGCUCUGAUACCACUGUUGGGUUUUGAGCAUUCUAACACUUCCUAAGUGUACAUGCAACCCUAAAUACCUUGGAUCUAUGUUUUCUCUAUUAUACAUGCAAAUAAGAACUUCCAAGGUAUUAUCCUAAUCUAGCAUACAAAACAAUGGAUAUAACAAGAUAGAAUACAUACCUUUUUCAUGUAGAAAGUCUUCAUGAAGCUUGAGUGCCUAGUGCCCCAAGUGUGACACCUCAAAUGGUUCACACAACACCAAAUACACUUGGAAUAACUUGAGAGAAUUCUCCACUUCAUGAAAUCGGCUAGCCCUCUCUAGAAUCAUACUAGUUCCCGAUUUUGUCAAGAAUAAGAUCUUUAUUAAGUGUUACAAUUAGGGUAAACCCUAAUUGUCAUGACUUUCCAUUUCCUUGGAUCCAUGGGUUCAAAUACACCAUGGAGCAUCCAUGGACCAUCCUAUGGGUUUUAGCCUAACUUGAUUAUCCAUGGAGCAUUAGCCCACUAUACAAGUAUGGAUGAAUUACACAAUCAAGCCAUAUAUUUAAUUAGUCUUCUUUUGAUCACUUAAUUAAUCCUAGAUUAAUUCUUGAUCAAUACUAAUUAAAUAAUUUUAUUAUUAUUAUUAUUAAUAUACUAGAACUUAUAAUAUAUUAAUAACCAUAAGUGUCUUAUUUCUCUCAUUAUAGUCUAUCCAAGUGCAUGAUGUCAUGCAACCCAAAUGGACCAUCCCGGGUC
rnacentral:lncRNA from 1 species